rnacentral:piRNA from 1 species
UCAACAAUAAAAGGGUCAGGAGG